GAGCGUGUGGCUGCGAGCGGAAAAGCGUCGGGAAGGGACGGAGAGCCCCGGGAGGAGCCCGAAGCCUGAGGAGGCCGCGGAUCCUCAGCGCUGCCCCAGGAGCAGAGCCCGGGCUGUCCCCGAGCCCCCCGAGCCCCCCAGAAAGUCGAGACAAGGCGAUAACAAUUAAGCAGCGCUGACGUCAGAUCUGUAAGUUUAUUUGCUCAAUGUACGACGGCUACAUAAUGACUCACAUUCAUGAUAUUCCAUCACUGAGGAAAAACUGCUAAGAAUGGUCCGUGUGUGAAAUAAUUCCUUACAGAAACACGGAGUUGGAAAAAUAAUCACUGAUUAGACCUUAAAAAUAGUUCACUGCAUAACAUGACAAAAAGCACAAACAAAGGCUCAUUCAAAGAACACAGUCAUUGUUCUCCUACACUGUAAUAGUUAUAAUUUCACCAUGACGAACACCAGACAUUAAGAUUAAGCUAACACUGGUGUUUUCUUUUGCUUUUUUUUUU